rnacentral:RNase_P_RNA from 1 species
CGAGUCGGUCGGGCGACCGCGUCGGCAGGAUCCGGGGUGACCGGGGUGCUGCCGCCGAGGAAAGUCCGGGCUCCACAGGGCAGGGUGGUUGUCAACGGCAACCCAGCGCGAGCUGCGGGACAGUGCCACAGAGAACAGACCGCCUGGCGGCCUCCGGGCCGCCCGGUAAGGGUGAAACGGUGGUGUAAGAGACCACCAGCGUCCCGGGUGACCGGGACGGCUCGGUAAACCCCACCUGGAGCAAGGUCGAGAGCGCCGCCCCUCGGGGCGGUGUGCGCAGACGUUCGAGGGCUGCCCGCCCGAGUCUGCGGGUGGACCGCUGGAGCGUGUCGGCAACGGCACGCCGAGAUGGAUGGUCGCCGAACGGGAUCGCCGCAAGGCGCCCGGGAACAGGACCCGGCUUACAGACCGACUCGUCCA